rnacentral:rRNA from 1 species
ACUCCUACGGGAGGCAGCAGUGGGGAAUAUUGGACAAUGGGGGCAACCCUGAUCCAGCAAUGCCGCGUGUGUGAAGAAGGUCUUCGGAUUGUAAAGCACUUUCGACGGGGACGAUGAUGACGGUACCCGUAGAAGAAGCCCCGGCUAACUUCGUGCCAGCAGCCGCGGUAAU